AUCCAUGAGUAGCAGACGAUUGUCCUAGGACGUGGGGGUGAGAUCCAAAAACUCUCAAAAUUAAAUAGAAGUCGAAUAUCGAGUCAAGAUGGAGAUUGUUGAAAAAAAUACUUCAAAUUCGAUCCACAGGAGUGAAAAUCCAAAUGCGGAGAAGCUCAGCUCGAAGAACACAUCGUGAGGAGCCUAGAAAUAUAGAGCAGUGGGGCCUGUAGUGCAUGGAGCAACGAGGCCCACGACGCGCAAGCCAGAAGAUGGGAAAAAGGGGCCUAGGCC
rnacentral:lncRNA from 1 species